UCUUAAUCAUUGCCAGCAAAAUGUUUUAUGAUUCAGAAAUACAGUGACUUCCUAACUGUGAUUUCUUGUUCUAAAAAGUCAGUUGCUGUUUCACAUGACCAUAAUCUUGUCUACAGAAUUAAUCCAUGAAUUAUUUGGAUUCCUAUUUCUGGAGAGUGGAAAACAAGAGAAGCAAAAUAAUUCUGGAUAAAGGACCAGAACUAUUGGUAGUGUUUGAAAGGGACUCCUGCUACUGGAUCUUUAAACAGUAGUUACACUUAAUGUUUUUCUUUGGAUUGUUACUUAUUACUCUGACAGAUUAUAUUCUUACACCAUAAGGAUGGUUUAUCUAAUUUCUAGUUAAUAGAUCAUCCAUUGAUAAAGUGUUUCUUCUGUGUAAUGCAAGCAUUUUGGAAACAGCUUUUGAGUGAAAUUAAAUGAGUUUUAAUAUAAAUAAAGAAAUUAAGAAUGUGCAAAAAUUCAGGGAGCACUCAUCAAGAUAUUGCUGUGGCAGAUACAGGCACUUGAGACUUCCGUCCAGGACCUGGAUAACUAACUCACUUGACUUUCUGGGACCCUGAUUCGUGCUCUGACUUCAACAGCCUAAAAUCCUCAUGCUCAAAACUAGCUCCAUUCAAGUUAAAUGGCAUUGCUCCAGAUCAGUUUUGAGGAUUUUCAUCUAGCUGAAGUUUGCUCCAAAAUCUUGAGUCCUUCGGAUUACAUUCUGAAAAAUCUUGUGAUAACCUAAAGAGAUAAAUCAGCAAAGAAAAGCUGCAGCUUCCCAGCAAGGCAAAUUAUAUUACAGAAUGAAGAGUAUGUACCAAGUACAGCACUGACAGAAGUGAAUAAGAAGUUGUAAUUGAUAAAGACCUCCAAGCCUGUGCACAGGGCGACACUGACCACCACAACUAGUGUCUGCAGUUCUUGGACUGGUAAUAUUCUGCUGAGUGGAUUUUAUAGCUGAAGUUAUAGUCAGUCAUCCAUUCCCAGAGCAGAGAUGCAGAUCUUGAAGACUAUAACUCCUUUUUCAGACUUACUUUCUAAAACUACUUUCUACCCAAAAUAAAUGCACUGAGGUCUAGAAUUCUCUCUGAUUUAUUUUUACAUAGGGUUGGCUCUUCCCCUUUGGCACACCAGACACAGAAACCUCAGCUACUUUUUCAAUAUGCUCUCACUGACUCGAGUAAGGUAGCAAAAGGUAGUAGUAUUGCAUGAUACGGAUAAGUCAUUGGUAGAGCUGCUGCCACAAAUAUUUUAAUUUAAA